GACGAACGCUGGCGGCGUGCUUAACACAUGCAAGUCGAACGGAAAGGCCCUGCUUUUGUGGGGUGCUCGAGUGGCGAACGGGUGAGUAACACGUGAGUAACCUGCCCUUGACUUUGGGAUAACUUCAGGAAACUGGGGCUAAUACCGGAUAGGAGCUCCUGCUGCAUGGUGGGGGUUGGAAAGUUUCGGCGGUUGGGGAUGGACUCGCGGCUUAUCAGCUUGUUGGUGGGGUAGUGGCUUACCAAGGCUUUGACGGGUAGCCGGCCUGAGAGGGUGACCGGCCCGAUUGGGGUGGGGAUAGGGCCAAGACUCCAAGGGGAGGCAGUAGGGGGGAAAAUUGCAAAGGGGGCGGAAGCCUGAUGGGGCAACGCCGGGUGGGGAAAGACGGCCUUGGGGUUGUAAACCGUUUUCGCCUGUGAGGAAGGGUGAGUGACGGUAAUGGGUAAAGAAACCCCGGUUAACUACGU
rnacentral:rRNA from 1 species